rnacentral:rRNA from 1 species
GAACUGGAGAGUUUGAUUCUGGCUCAGAUUGAACGCUGGCGGCGUGCUUAACACAUGCAAGUCGAACGUGAAAGGGGCUUCGGCCCUAAGUAAAGUGGCGCACGGGUGAGUAACACGUGGAUAAUCUGCCCUUAUGAUCGGGAUAACAGUCGGAAACGGCUGCUAAUACCGGAUACGCUCAA